rnacentral:lncRNA from 1 species
GCUGGAGAGAUUGGAGGAAAUUUUGGAACCGCUGCUUUAGUCCUGUGAGACAAGAAUUGGGCACAAUCAUAUCUGCCAAAAGACAUAUCUAGAUGGAGCUAAGCACCGAUCUCAAAAGAUGGUCCUACCUAUCAUGGAAAGGGCAUUGGCCUGCCAUCUUUCAAGAUGAUCCUAAACUCACUGCACCAUGGGUCUACAGUUGGCCCUCCACUGUCACUGCCCGACGAUGGGAACACCUAGAUAAGUCAAGAUCCUAGAUUGCUCCUGGAUCUCCAAUCUCUUCCAAAUUGCCUACUUCACCUG